AAUCAGCUCUACAAAAGACUUGUCAUAGAGGGCUCAGAACAGCUGGAUCCCAACCAGCCCAGGCCUCCAGGUAUUGGACCUGCUCAUGGACCAGCAGACAUGUCCCAGUUACGAGCAGAUGGACCAAAACAGCCAUAUCUAAAGGUUUACCCUUGGACCGUGUACAACGACAGGAGACGGGGCUUCAACUACAAGUGGUUCUCCAUUCAUAAGUGG